GAUAAACGCUGGCGGCGUGCCUAAUACAUGCAAGUCGAGCGAACGGAAAGAGCGUCUUCGGACAUUCUGGAAGUGAGCGGCGAACGGGUGAGUAACACGUAGGUAACCUGCCCUCGAGAUGGGGAUAACAGUUGGAAACGACUGCUAAUACCGAAUAGGAACAAGUGAGGCAUCUCACGAGUUUAAAAGGAGCUUUCGGGCUUCGCUUGAGGAUGGACCUGCGGCGCAUUAGCUAGUUGGUGAGGUAAGGGCUCACCAAGGCGACGAUGCGUAGCCGACCUGAGAGGGUGAUCGGCCACACUGGGACUGAGACACGGCCCAGACUCCUACGGGAGGCAGCAGUAGGGAAUUUUCCACAAUGGACGAAAGUCUGAUGGAGCAACGCCGCGUGUGCGAAGAAGGCCUUCGGGUUGUAAAGCACUGCUGUAAGGGAAGAACAGGUGUGAGAGGAAAUGCUCAUGCUGUGACGGUACCUUACCAGAAAGCCACGGCUAACUACGUGCCAGCCGCCGCUGUAACAC
rnacentral:rRNA from 1 species